rnacentral:rRNA from 1 species
GUAAUGUCUGGGAAACUGCCUGAUGGAGGGGGAUAACUACUGGAAACGGUAGCUAAUACCGCAUAACGUCGCAAGACCAAAGAGGGGGACCUUCGGGCCUCUUGCCAUCGGAUGUGCCCAGAUGGGAUUAGCUAGUAGGUGGGGUAACGGCUCACCUAGGCGACGAUCCCUAGCUGGUCUGAGAGGAUGACCAGCCACACUGGAACUGAGACACGGUCCAGACUCCUACGGGAGGCAGCAGUGGGGAAUAUUGCACAAUGGGCGCAAGCCUGAUGCAGCCAUGCCGCGUGUAUGAAGAAGGCCUUCGGGUUGUAAAGUACUUUCAGCGGGGAGG